rnacentral:rRNA from 1 species
CAGUAGCCGCGGUAACACGUAGGUGGCAAGCGUUGUCCGGAAUUAUUGGGCGUAAAGGGCUCGCAGGCGGUUUCUUAAGUCUGAUGUGAAAGCCCCCGGCUCAACCGGGGAGGGUCAUUGGAAACUGGGAAACUUGAGUGCAGAAGAGGAGAGUGGAAUUCCACGUGUAGCGGUGAAAUGCGUAGAGAUGUGGAGGAACACCAGUGGCGAAGGCGACUCUCUGGUCUGUAACUGACGCUGAGGAGCGAAAGCGUGGGGAGCGAACAGGAUUAGAUACCCCGGUAGUCCCUGUCUCUUAUAC